AAUCAACGCUGGCGGCGUGCCUCAGACAUGCAAGUCGAACGAUUAAAGCUUCCUUCGGGAAGUGUAUAGAGUGGCGUACGGGUGAGUAACACGUAAGUAAUCUACCCUUGGGUGGGGAAUAACUUAGGGAAACCUAAGCUAAUACCGCAUAAUGCAGCGGCUCCAUAUGGAGACAGUUGUUAAAGCAUUUAUGUGCCUAAGGAGGAGCUUGCGGCAGAUUAGCUAGUUGGUAAGGUAAUGGCUUACCAAGGCGACGAUCCAUAGCUGGUCUGAGAGGAUGAUCAGCCACACUGGGACUGAGACACGGCCCAGACUCCUACGGGAGGCAGCAGUGGGGAAUAUUGGACAAUGGGCGCAAGCCUGAUCCAGCCAUGCCGCGUGAGUGAUGAAGGCCCUAGGGUUGUAAAGCUCUUUCAACGGUGAAGAUAAUGACGGUAGCUGUAGAGAAGCCCCGGNUAACUUCGUGCCAGCAGCCGCGGUAA
rnacentral:rRNA from 1 species